GCUCAAUGCCUGUUUACCAGGUUGCCAUGUGGGCACAUAUGCAUAAAAAUGGGUGCUUGGGAAACAGUAGAGAAAGUGAUACUUAGGAUUGCACAACAUUAAGUAACCAUGAACAUAAGGUGGCACAAAGUCUGGGGCUUUGAUGUGUUGGUUCAGGCCCACCAUAAGCGAUAGAUGGCCACACAAACACUGGAGUGUUACUUAAUUCUUUGUAAAGGAGAUACCAUCACAUCUCGUUGACCAUCAGAAUGCAAAUCCGUGUAACUUUGACAAGAACAAACUGUAUAACUCAAGAAGAUAUAAAAAAGUAACUACAUUUGGUAAUCAAUCAGGAGAGAUUUGCUACAACGAUAUGGCAUCUAUAGCAAGAUACUAUAACACGAGUGUCUCAUACCAUCCCUUCCUGCAUUUUUGGAAAUCAGAUCUUCAAUUCUAGGAUGAAAAACAUGUUAAAACCUUGAAAUAUUGAAUAAGCACAAAACCGUUACAGUCUACAGUGCAAAAACACGGAUGUUAAUGAGAUACAAUAGAUCAAGAAAGAAAGACUUUGUAGAAGCUGUGCUCCACCAUCAAAGAAUGCGUAUUGUCAUCAUUAAAAUGUCAUAUACUUCAAACCUAACAGUAAAGCUUCUUACCAUGAAUACGUUCAUCUUUUGUUAUGGGAUGACUUGUUGAAGUGGAUGAAGUUAUCAUUCUGGCUAGAAGAAACAGCUGUCUUUCAUUUUGCACAUAGAAUAUAUCUAUAGAGAGAACAAUGAGACUGUUUUACUUGACCAUUCAAUUUGGCCUGGAAACAGUGCCGAAGUCCUCUGUGUAUCUAUGAAAUGGUUAUCUCAACCUCUGGAAAGAUUUUUUUUUGUGAGAAUGAUAUGAAGUUUUCCCACUUAAUAUUUUUUCAGGGUUACGGAGUUUUCCAAGUAAAGAAGUUAAAUGAAUUGGAUGCAAAACAUACAAGUGCAUUUUGCCUGGUAUCUAUAGCCUGUUGUCUGAAAGAUCCUAUGUGUUUGACAUAAUAGACAAUGAACUUCCUUCUGCUUCCAGUUACACUCAUAUACGUCUGGAGUAACACCUUCGGAAUCUGAGAUGAGUUCUGCCUCAAUCUCUCUCUUUUUAGAUGCUGGACAAAGAAUAAAUACAAUGGCUGAACGGCUAAUGUUUCAUGUGCACCUUGGCAAUAGGACAAAGAUUUUCCAGUGAGUUUGGGAAAGUUUUCAACUUUAGUGUGGGCAUGGCUCCCCUGAGGCCUUCCUAACGCUUCCCUGCCCACCUGGGAAGCCAGCAUCAUGGACCCCACGCCCUACCAUGCCAAACGGACAGGCAAAGUUGGUGCACAGAUGGGGACUGCUGGAUGCUAAAAAGGUGCCACUACCUGCCCAUGUUGUGGAGCAGCCCGUUAUUUCAAGGUGCUGGGUUCAUUGUCAAUUAGAGUGGCAGCAACGGCGAGCAGCAGCUGUCACAGAUGGCUGGGCUCCAGCCUCCUUGUGGAAAUGGGAUCAGAGCCAACUCAAAUCUUUUCUUUCCUCUUAAAAAAACAAAAAACAAAAAAAUCAAUAAAAAGGAAAAGAAGAAAGAUCCCCAAAUCAACAUGCAGUUGUCAGUUAAGACAAUUAGGGAGAAGUAGCAUAUCUACAAAGGCAUCGCUUAUCUGUUCUAUAUUAACCCCUACAUUCAAAUUUUUGAAGUCAAGAUUUUGUUUAUUUAUUACUUAUUUCAAACUUUUUUUAGGAUGUCCAACUCAGGAGACAGUUUAUGUUAAAUCUUUGUUCCGAGAGGAAUUUACAAAAUGCUUUGCUGAUAACUGAAACAACUUAACUCAGUUAUUAGAUUUUUAAUUAGAGAACUCUUGCAGAACCAUUCAAUUUUUAGUUCAGAGCAAAGAACAUUAAAAUGCAUCUAAGACUGACCUUGCUGUUUCUGGUGAAGUCUGAUUACAUUGAGAUUAUAUUCAAUCUGUGUUAAAGAAGAGUCAUAGCACCCUUCCCAAUCUCAUAUAGAAAAGAUCCGAGGUGAUAUCUAACCAUAUCAUUUUUAUUUCCAACUGAUUUAGGGUGUCUGGUACCUCUGUUCCUCCCUAGGCUCACCCAGUUUCAGCCUAAACCUGCCCUUGCAGUCUCAAAGGAAAUGCCUCAAAUUCCUGUUACCCAGCGUAGGACAAACAGCACAAAAACGCGUAGUCAACACAGGCCACAUCUUUACUGCCAUGUGGUCUACAGCAGGAGCAAAAUUGUAGGCCUCAGAGUUAUAACUUCAGUGUUCUAUCAGGAAGUGAGAUGGAAUAGACAAACAGGGAUGGCAGGCUAUCACAAGUCCUACUCAUGCUUCAUCGGCAGCCAUUUUCAAAACACAAUUGAAGAAUAAUCUUGAAAUUGAGUGAACUGAGACUGCUUAUAGUGAAUACAGGAUUUGGCUGGUAGUGGGUAUAAAUCAAAGAAGAAAACCCGUUUAGAUUCCUUGCCAAGUAAUUUAGUUAUUCUUUGAGAAAGAGGUUGUUAAUAGUGUUUGUAAUUGAGUACAGUCUUAGAACAGCACAAAGGCAAAUUGUUGUUAUUGUUACUAUUAAUCUAAGCUUUGUAAUUUUUUUAUAUAAAAAAAAAUCUUCAAGAUGAAUUCAGCACUGGAAAGGGACUUAAUGAACAGUUACUCUUAGUGCUUAUGAUGUAAAGAUUUUAUUUACUUACUCAACAUUUUCCUCAUUUCUUAAAUACAUGAAAUGAAAUCAGGUUAUUCUUUUAUUUUAUCAAAGUUUUUGUUUGUUUGUUUGUUUGUUUUUCUUUUCCAUUUGUCUACAGGGAAAGAAAAAGUUUUCUCUUAACUUCUGAUGCAAGAUUUGUUAUUUGUGUAAUGGCAGGACGAGAAACUAGUCUCUCUUAUUAAGUAUCUGUAGAAUUCAGCUUGGUCUGUCAAAACCAUAACUGCAUCUUGUAAAUGCUCUGCAGUCUAAGUCAGUGAAAUAUGUAGAGUAGAUUAUCCCAUUUGGCUUUAUUAUUUUCUGUCUUUAUAUGGACUGUUCUAAAUUGUGUAAGCUAUGACCAGUCAUUCUUUCUUUACUGAAAAACUUCUUGUACCCCAUGCAGGUGUACGAAAAACAGAAAGAAGGUGAGAAACCUGCUGUUUGGAUUUUUCAGAUGGAGAGCUGAUGCACAAAGAGAAUAAAAUAAUUGACGAUGGUCACAUAAGCAGCAUGGAUAAGAAACGCAGUUUCCAGGUUUCAGUCAGGCCACCUAGUCAUGUAAUCAGCUCCCAUACUUUGAAGGUCAAGCAGGUCAAAACAGGGAGGGAUAGACUCAAGUCCUUUAAAUUGAAGUGUUUACACUUCUCUUUAAAUAAAUAGAGAAUCUGUCUUAAAUUCCAUGGACUUUGAGCCAUAGUUUGUAAAGAGGUGAAUAAAAUUAUUUUAAAAAAAUAACAUAUUAAUGAAAAUAAAUUAUUUUAUAAUAUAUAGCUUACUGGGUAGCUUUGUAUCCAAUUACCCAGGUAAGAUAGAAGCUGAGCCAGAGACCCUUUCCUUGUAUCUAAAUAAUAAGUAAGUCAUCCACUGUUUUACAGUGAAAAACUGAAAAAUACUUGGAUAAGUUGCUUUGAAAAGUUAAAAUUAGCAAGACAUUGUUUUAUAAUGAUUAUUCAAAUUCCUCUGUAAUCAGACUUUGGAAACAGUGCUUUAGGAUGAUUUUAAAUGCAUCAAAGUACCCAUUUCACUAAUUAUAUUACAUCUACAAUUUCAGGGAGAAUAGAAAUUGAGAUCUAUGUCAAGGUUAAAGUCAGGUUUAAAACGAAAAGAUACCUUCCGCUGUUAAGCAAGUGAGUAACUUUACACAUGGGAACUAUUCCAUUUGCCACUGUUCAUGUGUAUAAUCCCAUAUCAUUACACUGGAGUUUAAUUCUUCUAAUCCUUAUUUUGGACUGGGUCCCAUUACUAUUUUUUAAAAGACUGCUCAUCCAUUCCAGUGCAUAUUUUUGAUUAAAAUGCAAAAGAACUUUAAGUUUUUUCUCAAGACAAAAAUAUUUGAGAAGUUGCUCCUUUCACUGGCACAAAACUUACUGUUUCUACUAUCAGUAGAUAAAGAUAAUUUAGUAAUAAUUGAUAGAGAUGAUAUGCAAAUGAACAUCAAUACUCUGUAGCAAGGAAAAAAAAGAUAAGGGCCGUUCUUUCAUACAAGGCCACCUUGUAGCUCUUAAUUAACUUGCAGCCUCUGCAAUAUCUUGUAUAUUGUUGACAUUCCUUAGCUUGGGCUAACAGUAACAUGCAUACAAUGCUCCCAUCACACCCUUCACUAGUUCAGUCAACUCUAUUCAUGUGUUACACACCUGUGCAUAUUUGCAGUCCAUUUAACUGUGGUGAGAGAAAUAUUAGCUUUCAAGGUGGACUCAAUAAAGGUGUUUUACCCCCUUUUUGUACUUCACAGUCACUAAAGGAAUUGAAAGUCAGAGACCCUACAUGUUAUUAUUAUUAUCUUUUUAUGGUAUCGUGAUCUUGUAUCAGCCUUGCUUCAUCAAAUAGGUAGGGAUGCAUGCAUCAACAGAAAUAUUACACCAGACAGCAUGUUCGUUUUCUCUCAGCUGUGUCAGUUUGUCUAAUGAGAGACAAAUUUUCUCCUUCCUCUAUUUAAGAUAGUCAUACAUUUUACAUUGUGACCACCUUGAAUAUUCAAAUCCUGUAGGAGGAUUCAGUUAUUUAGAAACGGAAAACUUUUGAUGUUGUACAUUGCAAGAUUGUACCAGAAACCGUGUGGAAUAUUUUAAAGAAAUUAUUAGAUUAUUAAUGACAGCAAUUUGGUAAUUUAUAGCAACUUCUAAAUUCAUUUCAAAUGUCUGCUCAGUGGAUGGAGAGAAUCUUAUUAUCUGCAAACUACUGCAGUCUGUAGUUAAACACAAAAGUUAUUGCUAAGUGCCUGGUCUUCUGCUUCAGAGAAAUGGUGGUGCUUGAAGGAUCUGUAUGUUGUCAUGUUUGGAAGAUAUUUUUACAGUUGACAGCUUUUCCAUUGUCACAGUGGUCAAAUUUGGGCAAAAUUUAAUCCCAUUGUUGAACUGAGCUUGAGUUUAACCCCAAAUCUAUUAUCUGAUAGCCACAAUUCUACCUUUGUACAUAAUUAACAGUUUAUUGAUGUUUGAUCUGAAUGAAGACACUUUACAUCUAAUUUAUCUGGAAUUUCACUGCAACCAGAGCCAAGAAAAAUUUCUUAAUUAUUACUUACAGUAUAUUUAUUGUCUACUACAAGCUACUUGCUGUUGACUAGUGAAAGUGACUGUUAUUAUUACUCAUGACUAAAAUAAAAACCAAGUGAGAUAUUUGUUUACAAAAAUCUUUAUGUAAGAUAUCUACAUCUAGUGUGGAUGAUGUUUAGGUGCAUAGAGCUCAUCAAAUUUCACUGUGAGCUUUGCGUCAAAUGAUGAAUUAAAAGUAACUUAGAAGAAAACAUGAACAACUGGUAACAUCCUCUCUUAAGUCUUUUCUCAAUUCUCCUUUCCCAAAUUCAUUCUCAGAUAGACCAAGGAUACAUGCUACCUCUGCUGAAGAUAGACAAAAGCCCUAAUUCAUGUUUUAAAGGCUCAUUCUCAUCUGUUACUGAUUUACUCUUUUAUAUGAAGCUCUUCUAGUAGAUUAUAUUGUACUGUCAGAGAACAACAUGAAUAGAUUUAUUAUUGAAUGAAUGAAUAAAAAUGGAAAACGAAAAAAUUUUUGAAACCUGUAUGACAAGCAUGGAAAAAAGUUGUAAGCUGGUAGAACCUGUGUGGUGAAAGCAGUUCCCCUUUGCUUCAGCUUAUUGUAGUAACAUUCAAAGAAAUCAGUGAAAUUCUUAGAGUGGGAAAAAUAUUACGGAACAGAUUAUAGACAUGAAUCCAUCAGAAUCAGGUAUUUUGCUAAACAAAUAGAUAAUUAUUUUAGUAUUUUA
ensembl:lncRNA